UACGUAGGGAGCAAGCGUUGUCCGGAUUCACUGGGUGUAAAGGGUGCGCAGGCGGAUCUGCAAGUCAGAGGUGAAAUCUCACGGCUUAACCGUGAAACUGCCUUUGAUACUGCUGAUCUUGAGUUAGGGAGAGGUUGAUGGAAUUUCAGGUGUAGCGGUGAAAUGCGUAGAUAUCUGAAAGAACACCAGUGGCGAAGGCGGUCAACUGGCCCUUAACUGACGCUCAGGCACGAAAGCGUGGGUAGCGAACAGG
rnacentral:rRNA from 1 species